CUUCUUCCUUCCUUUGUUUUCCAGAUUACUUCAAACGAAAGGUAUCGCUCUUUGUGCUGACCAAAAAUGGGGGAUCUGAAGAUUUCGAGCAAGGCUGAGAAGAACCUCGGCGGAUGGGCCCUUUUCGGCUCCAAAUACAAAGACGCCGCUGAUCUGUUCGAUAAAGAUGGCAACUACUUUAAACUCGCCAAAUCAUGGGAUAAAGCUGGAGCCGUAUAUGUUAAAUUCGGCUAAUUGUCAUCUUAAGUUGGAUAGCAAACAUGAGGCUGCAAAUGCUGCUCGUUACUACAAGAAGUCAAAUAUUAAAGGUACUUGGAGAAUGCCAAUAUGAAAAUGUUCAAUCUGUGGAUGUUGUGUAAAGAUGGUUGACCUCUGCUUGGAUUGAAUUCUGAAGCUUGCAGACAAUUUACUGGUCUUCAAGGAAAGUCACUUGAAAGUGGUUAUGUUGCAUCUGCAGACUGCACCACCAAGUAUUCCGUUAAAGAAAGAAAAUGGUUGAGAUACUACUGAUCGAACAAGGGUAUCCAAUGCCAACUUUCAAGGAAAGGCAAUUCAACAACAAUCAGUUUUGAUCAGUUGAGUUGAGAGUUCUGCAAUAAAAAGCACAACCUGGAAUAAAAUGCAGUAACUAAGGUUCUGGAUUGAUUGUUGGAAGGGCACAUAUAUGUUUUUCUCUACACAUUGUAAAGAGCAUGUAUAGAAACACUUGGGAUAAUUUUUAUUCAAUAUCCAUUUUUAUUAGUCUACAGUAAUUGUUAAGUA